GACGAACCGUGCGAACGUUGUUCGGAUUCACUGGGCUUAAAGGGCGCGUAGGCGGGCCAGCCAGUCCGGGGUGAAAUCCUCCGGCUUAACCGGAGAAUUGCCUGGGAUACUGCUGGCCUCGAGGGAGGUAGGGGCGUGCGGAACUUCCGGUGGAGCGGUGAAAUGCGCAGAUAUCAGGAAGAACACCCGUGGCUAAGGCGGCUCUCUAGUACGGUACUGACGCUGAGACGCGAAAGCGUGGGGAGCGAACAGG
rnacentral:rRNA from 1 species